AUACGGCCACAUCAUGUUGAAAUACCGGUUCCCGUACGAUCACCGAAGUUAAGCAACGAAGCAACGUCGAACCUGGUUAGUACCUAGAUGGGUAACUGCUUGAAAAUGCCAGUUGCUGUU